rnacentral:sRNA from 1 species
UAUUUUUUUUAAAGGGUAUGCAGUAAAGGGUCGUCUGACGGCGAAGGAUAUGCCACCAAUAGGCAUUGAAGAUUGUUAACAAGUAGACAGGAAAACCGAGACGAGACAGAUUUGAGAUGUUAGCAAGUCCGGUGGUUCCAGUUUAGCAGGAAAAUCAGGCAGCAACACCGGAGAAAAUCUCAGGCAAAGGGAAGCGAGAGGAGGAGAAAGCUUCCGACAAACCAUCAAGAGAGAGAAAUCUCACCGAAAACCGUUGGAAGAGCUUUAGUGACUGCUGGAAAGCUCGAGAGAGUUGAGACUGAACCGAUUAGGAGGGAGGGACGCCGGAGAAGCUUCGCCGGCCAGGGAAUGCUAUUCUGAAAUUCUUCAAGCGACGCCUCGUAAAUUGUGACUGGGAGAAAACUAGGGCGAACGCAACUUGAUUUCUAUCUCCAUUCUGAAAUUCUUCAAGCGGCGUCUCGUAAGUCUAUAGAAAAGUAUCUAAGGUUGGUCUUGAGUAUUUGAAUCUCACUGGUUCACUCGACGAGAAUACUUUGAACUAAUUUCACCGACUUAGGAUUCUUAGAGAAUUUUUAGUCAACCUAUUUUAUUACA